AGAGAAGACAUCUUCUCUUGGCCAAAGAUUUAUCGGUGAAGGAUGGGCCUGCGUCUGAUUAGUUAGUUGGUGGGGUAACGGCCUACCAAGGCGACGAUCAGUAGCCGACCUGAGAGGGUGAUCGGCCACAUUGGAACUGAGACACGGUCCAAACUCCUACGGGAGGCAGCAGUGGGGAAUAUUGCACAAUGGGGGAAACCCUGAUGCAGCAACGCCGCGUGAAGGAAGAAGGCCUUCGGGUCGUAAACUUCUGUCCUUGGGGAAGAAACAAAUGACGGUACCCUUGGAGGAAGCCCCGGCUAACUACGUGCCAGCAGCCGCGGUAAUACGUAGGGGGCAAGCGUUAUCCGGAAUUAUUGGGCGUAAAGAGUACGUAGGCGGUUCUUUAAGCGCAGGGUUUAAGGCAAUGGCUCAACCAUUGUUCGCCCUGUGAACUGGGGGACUUGAGUAUCGGAGAGGAAAGCGGAAUUCCUAGUGUAGCGGUGAAAUGCGUAGAUAUUAGGAGGAACACCAGUGGCGAAGGCGGCUUUCUGGACGAAUACUGACGCUGAGGUACGAAAGCGUGGGGAGCAAACAGGAUUAGAUACCCUGGUAGUCCACGCCGUAAACGAUGAGCACUAGGUGUCGGGGCCGCAAGGUUUCGGUGCCGCAGUUAACGCAUUAAGUGCUCCGCCUGGGGAGUACGCACGCAAGUGUGAAACUCAAAGGAAUUGACGGGGACCCGCACAAGCAGCGGAGCAUGUGGUUUAAUUCGAAGCAACGCGAAGAACCUUACCAGGGCUUGACAUCCUGCUGACAGGACCUUAACCGGUCCCUUCUUCGGACAGCAGUGACAGGUGGUGCAUGGUUGUCGUCAGCUCGUGUCGUGAGAUGUUGGGUUAAGUCCCGCAACGAGCGCAACCCUUGUCGUUAGUUACUAACAUUCAGUUGAGGACUCUAAUGAGACUGCCGUGGAUAACACGGAGGAAGGUGGGGAUGACGUCAAAUCAUCAUGCCCCUUAUGUCCUGGGCUACACACGUGCUACAAUGGUCGGUACAAAGAGACGCGAGACAGCGAUGUGGAGCAAAUCUCAAAAGCCGAUCCCAGUUCGGAUUGCAGGCUGCAACUCGCCUGCAUGAAGUCGGAGUUG
rnacentral:rRNA from 1 species